ensembl:lncRNA
UGUAUUGGUGUGUAUUGGUGUGUAUAAUUGUGUAUUGGAAUGUAUGUGUAUUAGUGUGUAUUGGUAUGUAUGUGUGUAUUAGUGUGUAUUGGUAUGUAUUGGUGUGUAUUAGUGUGUAUUACUGUGUACUGGUAUGUAUGUGUGUAUUAGUGUGUGUAUGUGUGUAUUGGUCUGUAUGUGUGUAUCAGUAUGUAUUGGUGGGUAUUGGUCUGUGUGUGUGUAUUGGUAUGUAUGUGUGUAUUGGUGUGUAUUGGUAUGUAUGUGUGUAUUGGUGUGUAUUAGUGUGUAUUGGUGUGUAUUAGUGUGUAUUGGUAUGUAUGUGUGUAUUGGUGUGUAUUAGUGUGUAUUGGUAUGUAUGUGUGUAUGGUUGUGUAUUGAUGUGUAUUGGUAUGUAUUGGUGUGUAUUAGUGUGUAUUGGUGUGUGUGUGUGUGCGCGCGUGUGUAUUGGUGUGUAUUAGUGUGUAUUGGUGUGUGUGUGUGUGUGCGUGCGCGUGUAUUGGUGUGUAUAUGGGUCUGUAUUGGUAUCUC